rnacentral:rRNA from 1 species
GACGAACGCUGGCGGCGUGCUUAACACAUGCAAGUCAGGGGGCGGGGUAACCCGUCACCGGCGAACGGGUGCGGAACACGUGAGCGACCUGCCCUGGUGUGGGGGAUAGCCGGCCCAACGGCCGGGUAAUACCGCAUACGGCGCCCGCUUGGAAGCGGGAGGCGAAACUCGCACGAGGCGCUAGGAGGGGCUCGCGGCCUAUCAGCUAGUUGGUGCGGUAACGGCGCACCAAGGCGAUGACGGGUAGCUGGUCUGAGAGGAUGGCCAGCCACAUAGGGACGGAGAGACGGCCCAGACUACGACGGGAGGCAGCAGCGGGGAAUAUUGCGCAAUGGGCGAAAGCCUGACGCAGCGACGCCGCGUGGAGGAUGAGGCCCUUCGGGGUGUAAACUCCUGUUGCCCGGGACGUAUGCCCCGCAACGGCGGGGUUGACGGUACCGGGUGAGGAAGCACCGGCUAACUCUGUG